AUCGCUCUCUGAAGAUUUUCCGAUCUUUGUAUUGUAUAGUGUGCGUCUAUAGCUGCAGAAGCUCAGGGUUUCCCCACUUCCAUAUGCAAAAAAACGAAGAGUUGAUUACUUCAUCUAAUCUGGAUUAGCUGCAUUUGAGAAUGUCGUUUUGCUAUCCAUCAUCACCAAGAAAACUGGCUAUGACGGUGGCAUUUUUUGCCUCAGGGGCAGCUCUUUUCGCCGUUGGAAUCCAUCUGUCGUAUCUCAACGUUGCUCCUCAGCAAGCUCGUACAAAAGCACGUAAUGAUUUCGUCAAAGAACGCCUCAGGCAGAAACAAGGCAAGUGACUUUCAAGAUUCAGAUUAUGUCAGCAUAACAACAGAGCCAUUUCUUUUUGAGUAUCUUUUGUUGUCUUCUUACUUUCACCAUCUCCAACUUUGGAACAAAAGAUCGUAUUAUUAGAGCAAACGGUACAAAAAGUAUAUCAAAAGAUCUUUCAUAAAAUAUUCUCUCACAAAGUACAGCAAAAGCAGGGAAUGAUUAAGAA